rnacentral:rRNA from 1 species
GAUGAACGCUAGCUACAGGCUUAACACAUGCAAGUCGAGGGGAAACGAUAGAGAAAGCUUGCUUUUCUAGGCGUCGACCGGCGCACGGGUGAGUAACGCGUAUCCAACCUGCCCAUCACUUGGGGAUAACCUUGUGAAAGUAAGACUAAUACCCAAUGACGUCUCUAGAAGACAUCUGAAAGAGAUUAAAGAUUUAUCGGUGAUGGAUGGGGAUGCGUCUGAUUAGCUUGUUGGCGGGGUAACGGCCCACCAAGGCGACGAUCAGUAGGGGUUCUGAGAGGAAGGUCCCCCACAUUGGAACUGAGACACGGUCCAAACUCCUACGGGAGGCAGCAGUGAGGAAUAUUGGUCAAUGGGCGAGAGCCUGAACCAGCCAAGUAGCGUGCAGGAAGACGGCCCUAUGGGUUGUAAACUGCUUUAUAAGGGAAUAAAGUGAGUCUCGUGAGACUUUUUGCAUGUACCUUAUGAAUAAGACCGGCUAAUUCCGUGCCAGCAG